rnacentral:rRNA from 1 species
AACGAACGCUGGCGGCAUGCCUAACACAUGCAAGUCGAACGAGGCCUUCGGGUCUAGUGGCGCACGGGUGCGUAACGCGUGGGAACCUGCCCUUAGGUUCGGAAUAACUCCCCGAAAGGGGUGCUAAUACCGGAUAAUGUCUUCGGACCAAAGAUUUAUCGCCUUUGGAUGGGCCCGCGUUGGAUUAGCUAGUUGGUAGGGUAAAAGCCUACCAAGGCGACGAUCCAUAGCUGGUCUGAGAGGAUGAUCAGCCACACUGGGACUGAGACACGGCCCAGACUCCUACGGGAGGCAGCAGUGGGGAAUAUUGGACAAUGGGCGAAAGCCUGAUCCAGCAAUGCCGCGUGAGUGAUGAAGGCCUUAGGGUUGUAAAGCUCUUUUACCCGGGAUGAUAAUGACAGUACCGGGAGAAUAAGCUCCGGCCAACUCCGUG